rnacentral:rRNA from 1 species
AUGCACCCAUAUCCGCUCAAAGGCUCCAAGGGGGCGUCGUUGCCGCCACGACCGACCCUCGUCUUCCUCAUCGCGCUCUUUGGCCUCUACGUAUGCUACCUCUCCUUCAAUCAGAUAAGGAUGGAGAGCAAGCAUGGGGAGGAGAAUGGUGCACAAGAACCGAAUGAACAUGUUUGCGCAAACCCUUAUGUUCCAAGUGAGGAGCUGCCCUAUGUGCACUUCCCACAGCCAAAGGGUUACAGCAGGGCGGAAUGCUCGUGUAAUCCUGUGCGGUUCUUUGUGAUCGUGUCGAUGCAAAGAUCGGGAAGUGGAUGGUUUGAGACACUGCUAAACAGCCACCCUAACAUCAGCUCGAACGGCGAAAUAUUCAACAGAGUGGAUAGAAGACAAAAUAUAUCGUCUAUCGUACAAACACUCGACAAACUGUAUGACCUGGACUGGCUCACAAGUGCAGCAAAGAAUGAGUGCACGGCUGCAUUUGGAUUCAAGUGGAUGCUAAAUCAGGGUUUUAUGGACCAUCAUGAUGAUAUACUUAGUUAUUUGAACAAGAAGGGUGUCUCUGUGAUAUUUCUCUUCAGGAGAAAUACACUACGCAGGCUUAUCUCUGUGUUGGCCAACAACUAUGACAGAGAUGCAAAGCAGCUGAAUGGAACCCACAAAUCUCACGUCCACUCGGAAGAAGAGGCCGAGAUACUCGCAAAAUUCAAACCAGAACUGGACGUGUCAACCCUGGUUUCAAACAUCAGGGAUGUCGAGAAGUACAUGGGAGACUGCUUGGACAGCUUCAACACAACACGGCGCAUGAUCCUCUACUACGAGGACAUAAUCAGAAACAGAAAUGCAUUAUUCCAGGUGCAGGAAUUCCUCGGCGUUCCGGUGAGGAAACUGGUGAGCAGGCAGGUGAAGAUUCAUACACGCCCGCUUCCGGAUCUUGUCAGGAACUGGGAGGAUGUGAAUAGCAGACUCAACGGGACAGAGUACGCGCGUUUUCUCGAUGGCGCAGAUUACGUGAAGUGA